rnacentral:rRNA from 1 species
CAUGCAAGUCGAGCGGGGGAAGGUAGCUUGCUACCGGACCUAGCGGCGGACGGGUGAGUAAUGCUUAGGAAUCUGCCUAUUAGUGGGGGACAACAUCUCGAAAGGGAUGCUAAUACCGCAUACGUCCUACGGGAGAAAGCAGGGGAUCUUCGGACCUUGCGCUAAUAGAUGAGCCUAAGUCGGAUUAGCUAGUUGGUGGGGUAAAGGCCUACCAAGGCGACGAUCUGUAGCGGGUCUGAGAGGAUGAUCCGCCACAUUGGGACUGAGACACGGCCCAAACUCCUACGGGAGGCAGCAGUGGGGAAUAUUGGACAAUGGGCGCAAGCCUGAUCCAGCCAUGCCGCGUGAGUGAUGAAGGUCUUAGGAUUGUAAAGCUCUUUCACCGGAGAAGAUAAUGACGGUAUCCGGAGAAGAAGCCCCGGCUAACUUCGUGCCAGCAGCCGCGGUAAUACGAAGGGGGCUAGCGUUGUUCGGAAUUACUGGGCGUAAAGCGCACGUAGGCGGGUAUUUAAGUCAGGGGUGAAAUCCCAGAGCUCAACUCUGGAACUGCCUUUGAUACUGGGUAUCUUGAGUAUGGAAGAGGUAAGUGGAAUUGCGAGUGUAGAGGUGAAAUUCGUAGAUAUUCG